UAAAUUAAUUAAAUCUAAUUUCUUUUCAAUGUAAAUGAAAUACUUUAUAUAAGCUAUAAUUUA
rnacentral:tRNA from 1 species